GACGAACGCUGGCGGCGUGCUUAACACAUGCAAGUCGAACGGAAAGGCCCUGCUUUUGGGGGUUGCUCGAGUGGCGAACGGGUGAGUAACACGUGAGUAACCUGCCCUUGACUUUGGGAUAACUUCAGGAAACUGGGGCUAAUACCGGAUAGGAGCUCCUGCUGCAUGGGGGGGGUGGGAAAGUUUCGGCGGUUGGGGAUGGACUCGCGGCUUAUCAGCUUGUUGGUGGGGUAGUGGCUUACCAAGGCUUUGACGGGUAGCCGGCCUGAGAGGGUGACCGGCCACAUUGGGACUGAGAUACGGCCCAGACUCCUACGGGAGGCAGCAGUGGGGAAUAUUGCACAAUGGGCGGAAGCCUGAUGCAGCAACGCCGCGUGCGGGAUGACGGCCUUCGGGUUGUAAACCGCUUUCGCCUGUGACGAAGCGUGAGUGACGGUAAUGGGUAAAGAAGCACCGGCUAACUACGUG
rnacentral:rRNA from 1 species